UACGGAGGGUGCAAGCGUUAUCCGGAUUCACUGGGUUUAAAGGGUGCGUAGGCGGGCAUGUAAGUCAGUGGUGAAAUCUUCAGGCUUAACCUGAAAAUUGCCGUUGAUACUAUGUGUCUUGAAUAUCGUUGAGGUUUGCGGAAUAUGUCAUGUAGCGGUGAAAUGCUUAGAUAUGACAUAGAACACCAAUUGCGAAGGCAGCAGGCUAAACGAAACAUUGACGCUGAGGCACGAAAGCGUGGGGAUCAAACAGG
rnacentral:rRNA from 1 species